rnacentral:rRNA from 1 species
UACGGGGGGGGGCAAGCGUUGUUCGGAAUUACUGGGCGUAAAGGGCUCGUAGGCGGCCAACUAAGUCGGACGUGAAAUCCCCAGGCUCAACCUGGGAACUGCGUCCGAUACUGGAUGGCUUGAAUUCGGGAGAGGGAUGCGGAAUUCCAGGUGUAGCGGUGAAAUGCGUAGAUAUCAGGAGGAACACCGGUGGCGAAGGCGGCCCUCGUGGACGGUGACUGACGCUGGAGACGCGAAAGCGUGGGGAGCAAACAGG